rnacentral:tRNA from 1 species
GCCUGGGUGGCUCAGUGGGUUAAGCAUCUGACUUCGGCUCAGGUCACGACCUCACAGUUGGUGGGUUCAAGCCCCACGUCGGGCU